rnacentral:rRNA from 1 species
CAAAAACAAAAACAUGUCUUAUUGAUAAUAAUUUUAAGUCUAAUCUGCCCAAUGAAAUUUAAAUGGCUGCAGUAUCAAUAACUGUACAAAGGUAGCAUAAUAAUUAGUUUUUUAAUUGAAAACUAGAAUGAAAGAUUAAAUGAAAUAUAAACUUUAUAAAUAAAACAAAAAUUUAAAUUAAAUUCUAAGUUAAAAUUCUUAAAUAUAAUUAAAAGACGAGAAGACCCUUUAGAAUUUUAUAUUAAAUAUAAUUAAAUUUAUAAUAUUUUAAAUAUAAAUUAUAUUUAAUAUUUAAUUGGGGUAAUUUUAUAAUUUAAUAAACUUUUAAAUAAUUAUAACAUUAAUUAAUGACUAUAUAAUCCUAAUUUUUAGUAUUUUAAAAUAAAUUACCUUAGGGA